rnacentral:lncRNA from 1 species
GUAAAUUGAUCCAAAUAAACAAUGGGACAAUGACUGUUAUACAAGAAGAAGACUGCACUUUUAUACAGUUGAAGUAUGAUAUGGUGAAUAAAUACCCUCAAUGCAGCCUUAUGGAGCUUUGGCUAGACCAUGAACAGUAGACAUCAAAAAGAUGCUCAUCUAAAGGGCCCCAAGUGUUUUAAGCAUUGGU